rnacentral:rRNA from 1 species
UGGUGGAGUGAUUUGUCUGGUUAAUUCCGAUAACGAACGAGACUCUAGCCUGCUAAAUAGACGGGCGAUCCCUUCGUGGGUCGACCCGAUUUGCUUCUUAGAGGGACAAGUGGCGUUCCUAGCAACGCGAAAUUGAGCAAUAACA